rnacentral:rRNA from 1 species
CGAGUUAUCUGAACCUUCGGGGAACGAUAACGGCGUCGAGCGGCGGACGGGUGAGUAAUGCCUAGGAAAUUGCCCUGAUGUGGGGGAUAACCAUUGGAAACGAUGGCUAAUACCGCAUGAUGCCUACGGGCCAAAGAGGGGGACCUUCGGGCCUCUCGCGUCAGGAUAUGCCUAGGUGGGAUUAGCUAGUUGGUGAGGUAAGGGCUCACCAAGGCGACGAUCCCUAGCUGGUCUGAGAGGAUGAUCAGCCACACUGGAACUGAGACACGGUCCAGACUCCUACGGGAGGCAGCAGUGGGGAAUAUUGCACAAUGGGCGCAAGCCUGAUGCAGCCAUGCCGCGUGUGUGAAGAAGGCCUUCGGGUUGUAAAGCACUUUCAGUCGUGAGGAAGGUAGUGUAGUUAAUAGCUGCAUUAUUUGACGUUAGCGACAGAAGAAGCACCGGCUAACUCCGUGCCAGCAGCCGCGGUAAUACGGAGGGUGCGAGCGUUAAUCGGAAUUACUGGGCGUAAAGCGCAUGCAGGUGGUUUGUUAAGUCAGAUGUGAAAGCCCGGGGCUCAACCUCGGAAUAGCAUUUGAAACUGGCAGACUAGAGUACUGUAGAGGGGGGUAGAAUUUCAGGUGUAGCGGUGAAAUGCGUAGAGAUCUGAAGGAAUACCGGUGGCGAAGGCGGCCCCCUGGACAGAUACUGACACUCAGAUGCGAAAGCGUGGGGAGCAAACAGGAUUAGAUACCCUGGUAGUCCACGCCGUAAACGAUGUCUACUUGGAGGUUGUGGCCUUGAGCCGUGGCUUUCGGAGCUAACGCGUUAAGUAGACCGCCUGGGGAGUACGGUCGCAAGAUUAAAACUCAAAUGAAUUGACGGGGGCCCGCACAAGCGGUGGAGCAUGUGGUUUAAUUCGAUGCAACGCGAAGAACCUUACCUACUCUUGACAUCCAGAGAACUUUCCAGAGAUGGAUUGGUGCCUUCGGGAACUCUGAGACAGGUGCUGCAUGGCUGUCGUCAGCUCGUGUUGUGAAAUGUUGGGUUAAGUCCCGCAACGAGCGCAACCCUUAUCCUUGUUUGCCAGCGAGUAAUGUCGGGAACUCCAGGGAGACUGCCGGUGAUAAACCGGAGGAAGGUGGGGACGACGUCAAGUCAUCAUGGCCCUUACGAGUAGGGCUACACACGUGCUACAAUGGCGCAUACAGAGGGCGGCCAACUUGCGAAAGUGAGCGAAUCCCAAAAAGUGCGUCGUAGUCCGGAUUGGAGUCUGCAACUCGACUCCAUGAAGUCGGAAUCGCUAGUAAUC